rnacentral:rRNA from 2 species
GUGCUGCAGCUAACGCAUUAAGCACUCCGCCUGGGGAGUACGGUCGCAAGACUGAAACUCAAAGGAAUUGACGGGGGCCCGCACAAGGAGCAUGUGGUUUAAUUCGAAGCAACGCGAAGAACCUUACCAGGUCUUGACAUCCUCUGACAAUCCUAGAGAUAGGACGUCCCCUUCGGGGGCAGAGUGACAGGUGGUGCAUGGUUGUCGUCAGCUCGUGUCGUGAGAUGUUGGGUUAAGUCCCGCAACGAGCGCAACCCUUGAUCUUAGUUGCCAGCAUUCAGUUGGGCACUCUAAGGUGACUGCCGGUGACAAACCGGAGGAAGGUGGGGAUGACGUCAAAUCAUCAUGCCCCUUAUGACCUGGGCUACACACGUGCUACAAUGGACAGAACAAAGGGAGCGAAACCGCGAGGUUAAGCCAAUCCCACAAAUCUGUUCUCGUUCGGAUCGCAGUCUGCAACUCCUGCGGAAGCUGGACCUAGUAUA